rnacentral:rRNA from 1 species
GUCGAGAAUUUUUCACAAUGGGGGAAACCCUGAUGGAGCGACGCCGCGUGGGGGAUGAAUGGCUUCGGCCCGUAAACCCCUGUCAUUUGCGAUCAAACCUCGCUAUUUAAAAGAUGGCGGGCUGAUAGUAGCGGAAGAGGAAGGGACGGCUAACUCUGUGCCAGCAGCCGCGGUAAUACAGAGGUCCCGAGCGUUGUUCGGAUUCACUGGGCGUAAAGGGUGCGUAGGUGGUGAGGUAAGUCGGAUGUGAAAUCUCGGAGCUUAACUCCGAAAUGGCAUUGGAAACUGCCUUGCUAGAGGAUUGGAGGGGGGACUGGAAUACUUGGUGUAGCAGUGAAAUGCGUAGAUAUCAAGUGGAACACCAGUGGCGAAGGCGAGUCCCUGGACAAAUCCUGACACUGAGGCACGAAAGCUAGGGGAGCAAACAGGAUUAGAAACCCUAGUAGUCC